GCUCUUAUAUAAAUCCGUCUCCCUAAAUUCGAAAAUAAAAUUACAAGCUAUGAACACAUGCUGAAUAGCAAACGAAAAAAUAUGUAACAAAAUACAGUCAAUGAUUACAAUAACAAAAGGAAUAUUCAUAAGAAAAAAAUAUAUAGCAAAGGAAGAGGGUGAAAGGUGAUUUUAGAAAAAUGAGAGUGUUAUUAAAGAAUGAAACAAUAUUUUUUUAUAAAGGGGAGGAGUGAGU
rnacentral:lncRNA from 1 species